AACGAACGCUGGCGGCAGGCCUAACACAUGCAAGUCGAACGCCGUAGCAAUACGGAGUGGCAGACGGGUGAGUAACGCGUGGGAACAUACCCCUCGGUUCGGAAUAACUCAGGGAAACUUGAGCUAAUACCGGAUACGUCCGAUGUUUUAAUCGACCUUGGAGAAAGAUUUAUCGCCGGAGGAUUGGCCCGCGUCUGAUUAGCUUGUUGGUGAGGUAAUGGCUCACCAAGGCGACGAUCAGUAGCUGGUCUGAGAGGAUGAUCAGCCACAUUGGGACUGAGACACGGCCCAAACUCCUACGGGAGCAGCAGUGGGGAAUAUUGGACAAUGGGCGAAAGCCUGAUCCAGCCAU
rnacentral:rRNA from 1 species